UGAAAUCUUCCCACACAUUCGGCAUGAUGUUGACACUGCCUUCUUCUCUUCAUAUGGAUGGACACUGGCUUGAUGAGACCCAGAAGGCUUUUCUCAUCCUGCCGUCCUUAAGCCAAUUCUUCAAGGUUUGCCAGGAUUCACUGCUUCCACUUAGGCCUUCUGACACCUAUUUCGUAUCUGAUACAAGCAUGGUUUAUCAUUGAGAUAGAUUACCCUCAUUCGUGGGACAAUUACAGCCAUUCAAAGCACCAUUAAAUCAUGGAGAUUCACCUGCCUCUGCCUGUAACACCGUGCCUGGCCAGCAUUCCAGUAACAAGAACUACUCAUGACAAUGAGGCAUCUUCAUGAAGAUAUCUUUCAAGACCACCCAUAUACUUUAUUUAGAGGUCCAAAACUUCGAAGACUUCAUGUUUAUGCUGAUCCAUAAUUCUGCCAAGAAAGAACACAGGAAAAAGAGUGAUUUUGAUCGUGUAAAAAAUGGUAGUAGAGCUAAAUAUAGCUGCAAAGGAAGCUGAGAAAUUUAAUUUCUACCCGAGCAUCCAUUUCCCUGCUACAUCCAUGAA